GACGAACCGUCCAAACGUUGUUCGGAAUCACUGGGCUUAAAGGGCGCGUAGGCGGGCUGCCAAGUCGGUGGUGAAAUCGUCCGGCCCAACCGGACAAGUGCCGCCGAUACUGGCAGCCUCGAGGGAGGCAGGGGUGCGCGGAACUGAUGGUGGAGCGGUGAAAUGCGUUGAUAUCAUCAGGAACUCCGGUGGCGAAGGCGGCGCACUGGUCCUUUUCUGACGCUGAGGCGCGAAAGCCAGGGGAGCAAACGGG
rnacentral:rRNA from 1 species